CUGGCGCGUGGAUUAGGCAUGCAAGUCGUGCGGAAAGGCCCCGCAAGGGGUACUCGAGCGGCGAAAGGGAUAGUAACACGUGGAUUACCUACCUCCAGGACGGGGAUAGCUGCGGGAAACUGCAAUUAAUACCCGAUGAUGUCUUCGGACCAAAGGUGUGAUUCCGCCUGGAGACGGGUCCGCGUCCUAUUAGCUAGUUGGCAGGGUAACGGCCUACCAAGGCUCAGAUGGGUAGCGGGUGUGAGAGCACGACCCGCAUCACUGGGACUGAGAUACUGCCCAGACACCUACGGGUGGCUGCAGUCGAGGAUCUUCGGUAAUGGGCGAAAGCCUGACCGAGCGACGCCGCGUGCGGGAUGAAGGCCUUCGGGUUGUAAACCGCUGUCAGUGGGGAGGAAAUACUAGGGGGAACACCCUCUAGUUUGACCUAUCCGCAGAGGAAGGACGGGCUAAGUUCGUGCCAGCAGCCGCGGUAAUACGAACCGUCCUAACGUUAUUCGGAAUCACUGGGCUUAAAGGGUGCGUAGGCGGCCCGAUAAGUUGGGUGUGAAAUCCCUCGGCUUAACCGAGGAAUAGCGCUCAAAACUGUCGGGCUCGAGGAAGAUAGAGGUAAGCGGAACUUAGGGUGGAGCGGUGAAAUGCGUUGAUAUCCUAAGGAACACCGGUGGCGAAAGCGGCUUACUGGGUCUUUACUGACGCUGAGGCACGAAAGCUAGGGUAGCGAACGGGAUUAGAUACCCCGGUAGUCCUAGCCGUAACGAUGAGCACUAGUCGGAGGAUACUCCAUAGUCUUCUGGCCGUAGCGAAAGUGUUAAGUGCUCCGCCUGGGGAGUAUGGU
rnacentral:rRNA from 1 species